GCUGGGCUUGGUGGCGCACACCUGUAAUCCUAGCAGCUUUGGAGGCUGAGGCAGGAGAAUCACAAGUUCAGAGACAGCCUCAGCAAAAGCAAGGUACUAAACAACUUAGUGAUACCCUGUAUCUA
rnacentral:sRNA from 1 species